rnacentral:rRNA from 1 species
UACAGAGGUCCCGAGCGUUGUUCGGAUUCAUUGGGCGUAAAGGGUGCGUAGGCGGUCUGCUAAGUUUGAUGUGAAAUCCCGGGGCUCAACCCUGGAAUGGCAUUGAAUACUGGUGGACUAGAGUACUGGAGAGGAAACUGGAAUUUACGGUGUAGCAGUGAAAUGCGUAGAGAUCGGGAGGAACACCAGUGGCGAAGGCGGCUACCUGGACCAGCACUGACACUGAGGCACGAAAGCGUGGGGAGCAAACAGG